CCCAGGCCAUCCCCAUGUCCCCUGGGGUGUCCUGUGUUCCCCCAGGCCAUCCCCAUGUCCCCCAGGGUGUUCCCACAGCCCCCGGGGUGUCCCCAUGUCCCCCCCAGGCCAUUCCCUUGUCCCCCAGGCCGUCCCCAUGUCCCACAGGGUGUUCCCAUGGCCCCCGGGGUGUCCCCCUGUCCCCCCCAGGCCAUCCCCAUGUCCCCUGGGGUGUCCUGUGUCCCCCCAGGCCAUCCCCCUGUCACCCCGGGCCGUCCCCAUGUCCCCCAGGCCAUCCCAUGUCCCCCGGGGCGUCCUCAUGUCCCCCGGGGCAUCCUCAAGUCCCCCAGGGUGUCCUCGUGUCCUCCCAGGGUGUCCUCGUGUCCCCUGGGCUGUCCCCAAGGUCCCUGGGGUGCCCCUGUGUCUGCAUCAGGGUUUUCCCACGUCCUUUGGGGUGUCCCCAUGUCCCCCAGGGCAUCCCUGCAGCCCCCAGGAUGUCUCUCUGUCCCCCAGGGCAUCCCCACGGUCCCCAGGGGUGUCUCUGCGUCCCCACCAGUGUGUGCCCACCUCCUUCGGGGCGUCCCCGCAUCCCCCAGGGCGUCCUCGUGUCCCCCAGGGCAUCCCCGUGGUCCCCAGGGGUGUCCCUGUGUCCCCACCUCCUUUGGAGUGUCCUCUUGUCCCCCAGGGCAUCCCCACGGUCCCCAGGGGUGUCCCUGCGUCCCCACUUCCUUUGGGGUGUCCCCGCGUCCCCCUGGCGCGUCACCGUGGUCCCUGGUACAUACGUGCGUCCCUCCCCAUGUGUCCCCGCGUCCCCCGAGGCAUCUUUGCAUCCCCUGGGGGUGUCCCGUGUCCCUCUGGGGGUGUCAUCACAGCCCUCUGGCCAUUCCUGCAUCUCCCAGGUGUUCCCAUGUCCCCCGGCGUGUCCCCACGGCCCCCAGGCUGUCCCCAUGUCCCCCCCAGGCCAUCCCCGUGUCCCCUGGGGUGUCCUGUGUCCCCCCAGGCCAUCCCCACGGCCCUUGGGGUGUUACCAUGGCCCCCAGGGUGUCCCCAUGUCUCCCCCAGGCCAUCCCCUUGUCCCCUGGGGUGUCCCCAUGUCCCCUGGGGUGUCCUGUGUCCCCCCAGGCCAUCCC
rnacentral:lncRNA from 1 species